rnacentral:rRNA from 1 species
GACGUAGGGGGCCAGCGUUGUUCGGAAUUACUGGGUGUAAAGAGCUCGUAGGCGGCUUGUUGCGUCUGCUGUGAAAUCCCGGGGCUUAACCCCGGGCGUGCAGUGGAUACGGGCAGGCUGGAGGCAGGCAGGGGAGAAUGGAAUUCCCGGUGUAGCGGUGAAAUGCGCAGAUAUCGGGAGGAACACCGGUGGCGAAGGCGGUUCUCUGGGCCUGUUCUGACGCUGAGGAGCGAAAGCGUGGGGAGCGAACAGG